AUACCACGGUGAGGGCACUACCUAAGUAACUCUUUAAAUCUUUCCCAAACUUCGAAAAGUGACUCGUCAUCUCCUUGCCGGAAUAAGGUAAUUUCAUUUCUCAUCUU